GACGAACGCUGGCGGCGUGCCUAAUACAUGCAAGUAGAACGCUGAAGAGAGGAGCUUGCUCUUCUUGGAUGAGUUGCGAACGGGUGAGUAACGCGUAGGUAACCUGCCUUGUGGCGGGGGAUAACUAUUGGAAACGAUAGCUAAUACCGCAUAACAAUGGAUGACACAUGUCAUUUAUUUGAAAGGGGCAAUUGCUCCACUACAAGAUGGACCUGCGUUGUAUUAGCUAGUAGGUGAGGUAAUGGCUCACCUAGGCGACGAUACAUAGCCGACCUGAGAGGGUGAUCGGCCACACUGGGACUGAGACACGGCCCAGACUCCUACGGGAGGCAGCAGUAGGGAAUCUUCGGCAAUGGGGGCAACCCUGACCGAGCAACGCCGCGUGAGUGAAGAAGGUUCUCGGAUCGUAAAGCUCUGUUGUAAGUCAAGAACGGGUGUGAGAGUGGAAAGUUCACACUGUGACGGUAGCUUACCAGAAAGGGACGGCUAACUACGUG
rnacentral:rRNA from 1 species